rnacentral:lncRNA from 1 species
UGAACUGCAUAAAAAAAAAAAACCAAACAUGGUCUUAUGGAUUACUAAGGUCAUCAGUAAAGAAGGAAAGCGUGAGCUGUAUUGAGAUUAGGGGGACUUAGCUGGAUCAGCCUAUGGCAAGGAGGAGCUGUCCUUGUAUUAUACAAAUAGACUUCUGAUUUGGUUAAGUUAUAAUGUGGGAAGUAAGGGAAUAACAUUAUAUAAAUCGAAGGCUCCCAAUAAUUCCCUGCCUUUCCUUCUCUCUCAACCAAUUUCGUUCCUUACUAAGGCAAUUACCGAUUUCCUCUCCAUCUAAUCACAAUUGAGUUACUCCAUAGCAAUCUCCAGUAUUUAUAUUCGGCGGGCACAAGAAAAUAAUUUGAAAGCUUCAUUAUAUCCUUGAGCAGCUGGGACUAAGUUGCAGAAUAGUAAGAAAUUAUAAGCAAUCAAGUGAAAGGUAUGUGAAUUAAUUCACUAAGUUUUUGUUAGCUGUGAUGUUAGUAUUGAGCAAAAUGGGUUAUUGUGAAUUAGAACAAAACAGUUGGUUUGUGCAUUCAUGUUUUGUCUGUGAAAUUGACUGUUAUGGAUUGAAUUUAGACACAAGGAGAUAAGUUGGGUUCUGGAGUAAGAAGGAGAAUAAUGUGUUUAUAAUGUAAAUCAAUGGCCAUGUAAAAAGGGAUUUUUAAAACUAUGCACUCCAAGUGUUUGACAAAAGUUUUUAACGAACUGUCUUAGUCUAAAAUCCAAACUUUGGUAAAAUUAUAGCUUGGGUUUAAUUUAUGAUUUAUAUGUGAUGUUAAUUAGAUGGUUUGUGAAUGUCAAGCUAAAGCAAAGCAAUUUUUUUUUAUCAAUGAAGAGUUAGACCUUGUAUGACAUGUAACUUGGACUUUCUGUUUUGGGCAGCUUAAGAAAUUCAAUAUGAAAAAUUAAUAUAUUUUAUUAUUUGGUUGCUAUCACAUUUAUUAUCUGCUGGAGCUUGGGUGUAGUAAAAAAAAAGAAAUAGCAUGUGUUGUUAAGGAAUUGUAGCAAGCAAAAGAUGGGGCUGGAGGGGUUUGGGCUGGCUGGGGCUGCUGCAGGCAGCAGCAGCUAGCGCUGUGCUGUGUUGUGCUGCAGAGCCAGUCAGCUAGUCUGACACCAAUUUGAUUUGUGUACCAUAUGCAAUGACUGUAAUUUGCAAGAUAGUUUAAAAGGUAGGUGCACUAUUUUACCUUUCUAAUAAGGAUUGUAAAUAACUUGCCAGUAGGAAGCCAAGAAUCAUAAGUUAAGAAUAGGGCUGCUGCCCAUGGUGGCAGCCAUGACUGGUUAUGGCAUCAGAUGUGGCCUUCCUUAGACUCUCAUUUAGUGCAGGUGAAUUCCCUAAACUAGCCCAGCUGAUAUUGCUCUGUAUUAAGGAUAGAUUCCAGUUGUGUAAUAUUCAAGAUAUAGUGUGAGAGAGUGACAUAGUAAGGGAGGUAAGUAGCAGCGGUAGCAGCAGUGGUUAGCAUCAAUGCAGUCUUAAGUAGAGAAUAUUAAUGGGAUAGCAUGGUAUAAGACAAGGCUAAUCAAAUUGAAAAAUAUUGCAAGGAUAAUGGGCUGCUAGGCUCGGUUAGGGGCUGCAUGGCCACAUUAAGCCUAGUUAAGCCCCACGGGGCCAAACAAAAGCUUGAUUGCCACACGGUGGGUCAAGUUGGAGCGGUUUUGGGCAUUUUAAUAGUAAACAAGAAUGUUUAGCAUCUUAGUAUAAAAACAUUGAAACUACAAAUGAUUAGAACUAUAAAUUAUUCAAUCAAGUUUUAGUCACACCUAAAACAUGUAAUUUAUUAUAAAACAAUGGUUGUUAUGAUUAGACUUUUAAAGUUACUAAGCCAAGUUUAGGCUUUUAGCAUCACAAAGAAUUGCUAAACACCGCGACGGAACUAACUUGACAUAGCUUGAAAAAGAAAUAUGAACUAAAAUUAUAGAAGAAUCUUGAGCAAAAGGUUAUGUCAGACCCUAUAAAAGAAAGAAAUGAUUGUUAUAAGAACAUGGAUGAGAUAUUUGAAAAAUGUAUAAAAAUAUUUUAAAUAUAGAAUAUAAAUUAAAAACACAAUCACUGUGGCUAUGUGAUAUGUGUAUAUGCAAGUUACAUGAAUUGAAUACUUGGCUAAUGUAUUUGUGAAUGGAAAUAUGAUUGUGUAGGAUUUGUGGGAACAAGUUAAGCUGAAUUUUUAUAUUCAUAGUUCAC